AGCGAACGCUGGCGGCAGGCUUAACACAUGCAAGUCGAGCGGGCAUCCUUGUGGUGUCAGCGGCAGACAGGUGAGUAACGCGUGGGAACGUGCCCUUCGGUUCGGAAUAACUCAGGGAAACUUGAGCUAAUACCGGAUACGUGCGAGAGCAGAAAGGUUUAUCUGCCGAAGGAUCGGCCCGCGUCUGAUUAGCUAGUUGGUGAGGUUACGGCUCACCAAGGCGACGAUCAGUAGCUGGUCUGAGAGGAUGAUCAGCCACACUGGGACUGAGACACGGCCCAGACUCCUACGGGAAGCAGCAGUGGGGAAUAUUGGACAAUGGGGGCAACCCUGAUCCAGCCAUGCCGCGUGAGUGAUGACGGCCUUAGGGUUGUAAAGCUCUUUUCUCCGGGACGAUAAUGACGGUACCGGAGGAAUAAGCCCCGGCUAACUUCGUG
rnacentral:rRNA from 1 species